rnacentral:rRNA from 1 species
UAUCAGUCAUGCAUAGCAUAUCAAUAAGCGGAGGAAAAGAAACUAACAAGGAUUCCCUUAGUAACGGCGAGUGAAGCGGGAAGAGCUCAAAUUUGAAAUCUUCAAGGUUCUACCUUGACGAAUUGUAGUUUAUAGAAGUGUUUUCUGUUAGUGGAGUGGCAAAAGUUCUUUGGAAUAGGACAUCAUAGAGGGUGAGAAUCCCGUAUUUGGUCAUUCCUCCUAGCGUUGUGAUACACUUUCAACGAGUCGGAUUGUUUGGGAAUGCAGUCCAAAAUGGGUGGUAAAUUUCAUCUAAAGCUAAAUAUUGGCGAGAGACCGAUAGCGAACAAGUACCGUGAGGGAAAGAUGAAAAGAACUUUGAAAAGAGAGUUAAACAGUACGUGAAAUUGUCAAAAGGGAAGCGUUUGACACCAGUGUUGUUUUUCCGAAAAUCAAUUACGAAUGUUUUGUUUUUGAGGAGUUAUGACUUCAUCGGCUUGCUCCUUUCUUUACGAAACUUUCUUAAUGCACUUUUCGGUUAACAAGUCAACAUCAAUUUCUUUUGUUGUAAAAGGUUAAUGAGGAAGGUGGCUUUACUUUCGGAGUAAAGUGUUUAUAGCCUUUGACUUCUGCAAUCGGAGAGAUUGAGGUCUGCAGCGUAGAUCCUUCGGGGUUAGAUAGCAUUUGUGCUAAGUUAUAGCUUGUCAUAGACAACUUGUUGACUAUGUUUAGUCAUUGUAGCUUACUCGCUUAGUGCUAUUUUACCUACGCUUAGGAUGUUGAUGUGAUACUGCGAGCA